GACGAACGCUGGCGGCGUGCUUAACACAUGCAAGUCGAGCGGUAAGGCCCUUUCGGGGGUACACGAGCGGCGAACGGGUGAGUAACACGUGGGUGACCUGCCCUUAGCUCUGGGAUAAGCCUGGGAAACUGGGUCUAAUACCGGAUAUGACCUCAUGACUCAUGUUGUGGGGUGGAAAGCCUUGUGCGGCUAGGGAUGGGCCCGCGGUCUAUCAGCUUGUUGGUGGGGUAAUUGCCUGCCAAGGCGACGACGGGUAGCCGGCCUGAGAGGGCGACCGGCCACACUGGGACUGAGACACGGCCCAGACUCCUACGGGAGGCAGCAGUGGGGAAUCUUGCGCAAUGGGCGAAAGCCUGACGCAGCGACGCCGCGUGAGGGAUGACGGCCUCGGUGU
rnacentral:rRNA from 1 species